AUUGGCUGAAAAUCACCCAGAGCUUUGCUGUGGCCGUGGGUAAAAAUUUGGUGCACAGAUCCAGUGGGUCUUCAGCUAACCACCCACUCUUUGGUGUGGGGAGGCAAAACCCAGGCGCCUCCAUGC